UGGCCGCCGCAGAACUCUCUCGAGUCGUCUCGUCCUCAACCGGAGCCUCCCAGAUCUAGCGCCGCUGGCUCCCUCCUCUCCGUCUCCGGCGUUCUUCGCCGGUGACUGGAAAGGAGUGGAGCCACCCCGCUAGUCUCUAGUAUACUUCUAUAAUAUUAUAGCCACUACAUCUAUAAAGUUCUCCUGGUUGGGAAAGUCCUCCCUUGCUCCGGCCGCCGGAGUAGCUGGUGUCAUUCUCGUCGCUGUCGUCCUCGCCGUUCUCGGUGCCAGCAACACUGGAGCUAAGGUGAGUCGAAAUAAAAUAAAUCCCUUGCUUGCCAUCGCUUCUGACCAUCCUCGACCCGACCUGCUCGUCCUGUUGCCGGCGACGGCAAAGGUUGUGGCCAGCAGGCUUGUGGCCGUUGUGCCCGGUGUGGCUGCCCGUGCUACCUAGCUCGGGUGCUUGCCCAGCAGGCUUGGGACGGCAGUGCCCGGCGUGACCGACCGUGGUGCCAGGCAUGGAAGCUUUUGUCCCUCUCGUGUCUUCGCCGAUGAAGAUUGUCUUUUCGGUGUCGAUUUUGGGAGGUUUGCUUACCAACACGAAAGAAAUUCAGGGCCAGCUUCUUCAGCCGGUUCGUUCAGCGUCAACAACGCACGUCGGUCUCGAUGUGCUGCUCAAGACAGCAAUUAAAAAGUUUGUUCCUUCGCUGGAGAGGAAGUCGGCCUCAAGAUGCGUUCUCCGACCACCGGUGGCGAGGGAGACCGGGCGCUUGCAAGGACUAGGAUGUAUUUUCUCUUUAUUCCAAGAGUGUCUUUGUAAGUUUUGGGGUGUAAUCACCAUAAACUAUGAAUGAAAUACCGACCCGGUUUUCUAAAAAAAAAUCUUAUUGGGCA